rnacentral:rRNA from 1 species
UACGAAGGGGGCUAGCGUUGUUCGGAAUUACUGGGCGUAAAGCGCGCGCAGGCGGUUCUCCAAGUCAGUGGUGAAAGCCCGGAGCUCAACUCCGGAACUGCCAUUGAAACUGUUGAACUUGAGGACGAGAGAGGUGAGUGGAAUUCCCAGUGUGGAGGUGAAAUUCGUAGAUAUUGGGAAGAACACCGGUGGCGAAGGCGGCUCACUGGCUCGUAUCUGACGCUCAGGCGCGAUAGCGUGGGGAUCAAACAGG